rnacentral:rRNA from 1 species
UACGUAGGGUGCAAGCGUUGUCCGGAAUUAUUGGGCGUAAAGAGCUCGUAGGCGGUUUGUCGCGUCUGCUGUGAAAUCCCGAGGCUCAACCGCGGGCCUGCAGCCGAUACGGGCAGGCUAGAGUUCGGUAGGGGAGACUGGAAUUCCUGGUGUAGCGGUGAAAUGCGCAGAUAUCAGGAGGAACACCGAUGGCGAAGGCAGGUCUCUGGGCCGAUACUGACGCUGAGGAGCGAAAGCGUGGGGAGCGAACAGG